UAGACCGCCUGGGGAGUACGGCCGCAAGGUUAAAACUCAAAUGAAUUGACGGGGGCCCGCACAAGCGGUGGAGCAUGUGGUUUAAUUCGACGCAACGCGAAGAACCUUACCUGGCCUUGACAUGCAGAGAACUUUCCAGAGAUGGAUUGGUGCCUUCGGGAACUCUAACACAGGUGCUGCAUGGCCGUCGUCAGCCCGUGUCGUGAGAUGUUGGGUUAAGUCCCGUAACGAGCGCAACCCCUAUCCCUAGUUGCUAGCAGUUCGGCUGAGAACUCUAGGGAGACUGCCGGUGACAAACCGGAGGAAGGUGGGGAUGACGUCAGGUCAUCUGUAANACGACGGCCAGGGCUACACACGUGCUACAAUGGUGCGCACAGAGGGCUGCAAACCCGCGAGGGGGAGCCAAUCUCACAAAACGCAUCGUAGUCCGGAUCGCAGUCUGCAACUCGACUGCGUGAAGUCGGAAUCGCUAGUAAUCGUGAAUCAGAAUGUCACGGUGAAUACGUUCCCGGGCCUUGUACACACCGCCCGUCACACCAUGGGAGUGGAUUGCACCAGAAGUGGUUAGUCUAACCUUCGGGAGGACGAU
rnacentral:rRNA from 1 species